GCUGGGUGUGGUGGCGCACACCUGUAAUCCCAGCUACUUGGAGGCUGAGACAGGAGAAUCGCUUGAACCUAGAAGGCAGAGGUUGUAGUGAGCCGAGAUUGUGCCACUGCAUUCCAGCCUGGGUGACAGGGCUAGACUCUGUUUCAA
rnacentral:sRNA from 1 species